CACCAGGGUCUGUCUUUGCUCUGGCUGGUUGUAUGGUGAAUAUAUCCCAGUUCGUUGGACCGGUUCUAGCAAACGCCCUCUACGCUUCAACAGUGUCUGUCUUUUCGCCUCUAGCAUUUUACGUUUUGGCUGGACUAUUGAUUUUUCCUACAAUUCUGAACGGGAUUGUUCAAAGCUAUGGCACGGAAACUCACCUAGGCUACACACAAAUACCAGGUGAUGACGAUGGUUGAUAAACAGAGACAGCGUUCAAUUCGGAUGGCAUCCACUGGUUUCCAUAGUGAUCAGGAGCGUCAUCAGUAUCAUCGGUGUCAAACACAGAGCUCAUCUCUGAUUUGUGUGUCAUUUCAGUGCAUCCAUCUCGGCCUACAUGUUGGUUUUUGUAUGGAUUCCCAAAUCUUUUGGGAAGGGUUUUGUGGAUACCUCAUUUACCAAAAAUUACGUUUACAUCUUAUUGUAUAAUGUAGCUCCGUAGUCACGGUGAAAGUUGCCCGAUGCGCUCCAAUAUUAGUCGGCUCUAGCUAGGCUACCGUUUUCGGAACGGACAGCGUU